rnacentral:rRNA from 1 species
CCCUUAGAUGUUCUGGGCCGCACGCGUGCUACACUGACCGGCGCAACAAGUUUCUUUCCUUGGCUCGAUAGGCCUGGGUAAUCUUUGAACGCCGGUCGUGAUGGGGAUAGAUCCUUGCAAUUUUUGAUCUUCAACGAGGAAUUCCUAGUAAAUGCGAGUCACCAUCUCGCGUUGAUUACGUCCCUGCCCUUUGUACACACCGCCCGUCGCACCUACCGAUUGAAUGGUCCGGUGAAGCCUCGGGAUUGCGAAUGCUUCGUGCGGACGCGAGAACUUGGCUAAACCUUACCAUUUAGAGGAAGGUGAAGUCGUAACA